GAUGAAGAACGCAGCGAAAUGCGAUAAGUAAUGUGAAUUGCAGAGUUUAGUGAAUCAUCGAAUCUUUGAACGCACAUUGCGCCCCUUGGUAUUCCAUGGGGCAUGCCUGUUCGAGCGUCAUUUGUACCUUCAAGCUUUGCUUGGUGUUGGGUGUUUGUCUCGCCUUUGCGUGUAGACUCGCCUUAAAAUAAUUGGCAGCCGGCGUAUUGAUUUCGGAGCGCAGUACAUCUCGCGCUUUGCACUCAUAACGACAGCGUCCAAAAGUACAUUUUACACUCUUGACCUCGGAUCAGGUAGGGAUACCCGCUGAACUUAAGCAUAUCAAUAAGCGGAGGA
rnacentral:misc_RNA from 1 species